rnacentral:rRNA from 1 species
AUCCGAAGGGUGCAAGCGUUAAUCGGAAUUACUGGGCGUAAAGCGCGCGUAGGUGGUUCGUUAAGUUGGAUGUGAAAGCCCCGGGCUCAACCUGGGAACUGCAUCCAAAACUGGCGAGCUAGAGUAUAGCAGCGGGUGGUGGAAUUUCCUGUGUAGCGGUGAAAUGCGUAGAUAUAGGAAGGAACACCAGUGGCGAAGGCGACCACCUGGGCUAAUACUGACACUGAGGUGCGAAAGCGUGGGGAGCAAACAGGAUUAGAUCCCCUGGUAGUCCACGCCGUAAACGAUGUCGACUAGCCGUUGGGAUCCUUGAGAUCUUAGUGGCGCAGCUAACGCAUUAAGUCGACCGCCUGGGGAGUACGGCCGCAAGGUUAAAACUCAAAUGAAUUGACGGGG